CUCAAUUUUGAAUCUGGUGUCUUUGACUCCCGAGUUGUAAUCUAGAGAAGUGUUUUCCGUGUCGGACCGUGCACAGUUCCCUGGAACGGGGCGUCAUAGAGGGUGAGAAUCCCGUAUAUGGCACGGACUGCCGAUGCUUUUGUGAUACACUCUCAACGAUCGAGUUGUUUGGGAAUGCAGCUCAAAAUGGGUGGUAAAUUCCAUCUAAAGCUAAAUAUUGGCGAGAGACCGAUAGCGAACCAGUACCGUGAGGGAAAGAUGAAAAGCACUUUGGAAAGAGAGUGAAACAGUACGUGAAAUUGUUGAAAGGGAAGCGUUUGAAGUCAGUCGUAUCUGGUGGGAUUCAGCCGAGCUUUUGCUCGGUGUACUUCUCGUCUGAUGGGUCAGCAUCAUUUUGACCGGGGGAGAAAGACAUGGGGAAUGUGGCUGUCUUCGGGCAGUGUUAUAGCCCCAUGUUGUAUGCCUCGGUUGGGAUUGAGGAAUGCAGCGCGCCUCAUGGCCAGGGGUUCGCCCUUUGACACGCGCUUAGGAUGCUGGCAUAAUGGCUUUAAGCGACCCGUCUUGA
rnacentral:rRNA from 1 species